rnacentral:rRNA from 1 species
GCCAGGGAACUACGAGCUAAGCUUAAAACCCAAAGGACUUGACGGUGCCCCAUAUCCCCCUAGAGGAGCCUGUCCUAUAAUCGAUGAUCCCCGUUUAACCUCACCGCCCCUAGCCAUUCAGCCUGUAUACUUCCGUCGUCAGCUUACCACAUGAGCGCAGUUCAGUUAGCCCAAUGACCCCAAUACAAAUACGUCAAUACGUCAGGUCAAAGUGCAGCAUAUGAGGCGGGAAGAGAUUGGCUACACUUUUUAGUAUAAAAAACACGAAAGACAGAAUGAAACUUUGUCAGAAGGUGGAUUUAGAAGUAAAAUGAAUUCAUUAUAUUCACUUAAACAAGGCACUGGAGCGUGU